UAAGCGGAGGAAAAGAAACUAACAAGGAUUCCCCUAGUAGCGGCGAGCGAAGCGGGAAGAGCUCAAAUUUAUAAUCUGGCACCUUCGGUGUCCGAGUUGUAAUCUCUAGAAAUGUUUUCCGCGCUGGACCGCACACAAGUCUGUUGGAAUACAGCGGCAUAGUGGUGAGACCCCCGUAUAUGGUGCGGACGCCCAGCGCUUUGUGAUACAUUUUCGAAGAGUCGAGUUGUUUGGGAAUGCAGCUCAAAUUGGGUGGUAAAUUCCAUCUAAAGCUAAAUAUUGGCGAGAGACCGAUAGCGAACAAGUACCGUGAGGGAAAGAUGAAAAGCACUUUGGAAAGAGAGUUAACAGUACGUGAAAUUGUUGGAAGGGAAACGCUUGAAGUCAGACUUGCUUGCCGAGCAAUCGGUUUGCAGGCCAGCAUCAGUUUUCCGGGAUGGAUAAUGGUAGAGAGAAGGUAGCAGUUUCGGCUGUGUUAUAGCUCUCUGCUGGAUACAUCUUGGGGGACUGAGGAACGCAGUGUGCCUUUGGCGGGGGUUUCGACCUCUUCACACUUAGGAUGCUGGUGGAAUGGCUUUAAACGACCCGUCUUGAAACACG
rnacentral:rRNA from 1 species